rnacentral:rRNA from 1 species
UACGUAGGGUGCGAGCGUUGUCCGGAAUUAUUGGGCGUAAAGAGCUCGUAGGCGGUCUGUCGCGUCGAUCGUGAAAACUUGGGGCUUAACCCUGAGCUUGCGGUCGAUACGGGCAUGACUGGAGUUCGGCAGGGGAGACUGGAAUUCCUGGUGUAGCGGUGGAAUGCGCAGAUAUCAGGAGGAACACCGGUGGCGAAGGCGGGUCUCUGGGCCUUACCUGACGCUGAGGCGCGAAAGCUAGGGGAGCAAACAGG